CCUACGGGUGGCAGCAGUGGGGAAUAUUGCGCAAUGGGCGAAAGCCUGACGCAGCGACGCCGCGUGAGGGAUGAAGGUCUUCGGAUCGUAAACCUCUGUCAGCAGGGAAGAACGGUCACUGUGCUAAUCAGCAGUGAAUUGACGGUACCUGCAAAGGAAGCACCGGCUAACUCCGUGCCAGCAGCCGCGGUAAUACAGAGGGUGCGAGCGUUAAUCGGAAUUACUGGGCGUAAAGCGCUCGUAGGCGGUAUGUCAAGUCAAGGGUGAAAUCCCCGGGCUUAACCUGGGAAAGCCAUACAUGACUGCAAGACUAGAGUGCGUCAGAGGGGGGUGGAAUUCCAAGUGUAGCAGUGAAAUGCGUAGAUAUUUGGAAGAACACCGAUGGCGAAGGCAGCCCCCUGGGACGCAACUGACGCUCAUACACGAAAGCGUGGGGAGCAAACAGGAUUAGAUACCCUAGUAGUC
rnacentral:rRNA from 1 species